rnacentral:rRNA from 1 species
CCUACGGGAGGCUGCAGUGGGGGAUAUUGCGCAAUGGGGGAAACCCUGACGCAGCAACGCCGCGUGAAGGAAGACGGUUUUCGGAUUGUAAACUUCUUUUGUCGAGGACGAAAUAAGACGGUACUUGACGAAUAAGCCACGGCUAACUACGUGCCAGCAGCCGCGGUAAUACGUAGGUGGCAAGCGUUGUCCGGAAUUACUGGGUGUAAAGGGCGAGUAGGCGGGUUGUUAAGUCAGAUGUGAAAUCUCCGGGCUCAACCCGGAACGUGCAUUUGAAACUGAUGAUCUUGAGUGAUGGAGAGGCAGGCGGAAUUCCGUGUGUAGCGGUGAAAUGCGUAGAUAUACGGAGGAACACCAGUGGCGAAGGCGGCCUGCUGGACAUUAACUGACGCUGAGGAGCGAAAGCGUGGGGAGCAAACAGGCUUAGAUACCCCAGUAGUC